rnacentral:rRNA from 1 species
AGAGUUUGAUCAUGGCUCAGAGCGAACGCUGGCGGCAGGCUUAACACAUGCAAGUCGAGCGGGCGUAGCAAUACGUCAGCGGCAGACGGGUGAGUAACGCGUGGGAACGUACCUUUUGGUUCGGAACAACACAGGGAAACUUGUGCUAAUACCGGAUAAGCCCUUACGGGGAAAGAUUUAUCGCCGAAAGAUCGGCCCGCGUCUGAUUAGCUAGUUGGUGAGGUAAUGGCUCACCAAGGCGACGAUCAGUAGCUGGUCUGAGAGGAUGAUCAGCCACAUUGGGACUGAGACACGGCCCAAACUCCUACGGGAGGCAGCAGUGGGGAAUAUUGGACAAUGGGCGCAAGCCUGAUCCAGCCAUGCCGCGUGAGUGAUGAAGGCCCUAGGGUUGUAAAGCUCUUUUGUGCGGGAAGAUAAUGACGGUACCGCAAGAAUAAGCCCCGGCUAACUUCGUGCCAGCAGCCGCGGUAAUACGAAGGGGGCUAGCGUUGCUCGGAAUCACUGGGCGUAAAGGGUGCGUAGGCGGGUCUUUAAGUCAGGGGUGAAAUCCUGGAGCUCAACUCCAGAACUGCCUUUGAUACUGAGGAUCUUGAGUUCGGGAGAGGUGAGUGGAACUGCGAGUGUAGAGGUGAAAUUCGUAGAUAUUCGCAAGAACACCAGUGGCGAAGGCGGCUCACUGGCCCGAUACUGACGCUGAGGCACGAAAGCGUGGGGAGCAAACAGGAUUAGAUACCCCGGUAGUCC